rnacentral:rRNA from 1 species
CCCUUAGAUGUUCUGGGCCGCACGCGUACUACACUGAGUAAUUCAAUGGGUAAGGGAACGCUAGAGCAUUACCUAAUCUUGAAAUUUGCUCGUGAUGGGGAUCGACGGUUGCAAUUUUCCGUCGUGAACGAGGAAUACCUUGUAGGCGCAUGUCAUCAUCAUGCGCCGAAUACGUCCCUGCCCUUUGUACACACCGCCCGUCGCUCCUACCGAUUGAGUGAUCCGGUGAGGCUCUGGGACCUGGACGGAAAGAGCGUUUCGCUUGUUCUGUUUGGGAAACUUGGUCGAACCUUAUCAUUUAGAGGAAGGAGAAGUCGUAACA